rfam:Actinomyces hordeovulneris strain DSM 20732 Scaffold7, whole genome shotgun sequence.
GCCCUCGUAGCUCAGUGGAUAGAGCACCGCUCUCCUAAAGCGGGUGUCGGACGUUCGAAUCGUCUCGGGGGCA